AGUGGGGAAUAUUGGUCAAUGGGCGAAAGCCUGAACCAGCCAAUCCGCGUGCAGGAUGACGGCCUUAUGGGUUGUAAACUGCUUUUAUACAGGAAGAAGCACCUGACGUGUCAGGGAAUGACUGUACUGUAUGAAUAAGCAUCGGCUAACUCCGUGCCAGCAGCCGCGGUAAUACGGAGGAUGCAAGCGUUAUCCGGAUUUAUUAGGUUUAAAGGGUGCGUAGGCGGACUGGUAAGUCAGUGGUGAAAUCCUACAGCUUAACUGUAGAACUGCCAUUGAUACUAUUAGUCUUGAGUACAAUUGAGGUAGGCGGAAUGUGUGGUGUAGCGGUGAAAUGCUUAGAUAUCACACAGAACACCGAUUGCGAAGGCAGCUUACUAAACUGUAACUGACGCUGAGGCACGAAAGCGUGGGGAGCAAACAGGAUUAGAUACCCUGGUAGUCCACGCCGUAAACGAUGAUCACUCGCUGUUCGCCCUUUUGGGUGAGUGGCCAAGCUAAAGCAUUAAGUGAUCCACCUGGGGAGUACGUCGGCAACGAUGAAACUCAAAGGAAUUGACGGGGGCCCGCACAAGCGGUGGAACAUGUGGUUUAAUUCGAUGAUACGCGAGGAACCUUACCUGGAUUUAAAUGUAGGACGAAAGUCACGUGAAAGCGAGACCUUCCUUCGGGACGGACUACAAGGUGCUGCAUGGUUGUCGUCAGCUCGUGCCGUGAGGUGUCGGGUUAAGUCCCAUAACGAGCGCAACCCCUAUCGUUAGUUACCAGCGGAUUAUGCCGGGGACUCUAACGAGACUGCCACCGUAAGGUGUGAGGAAGGUGGGGAUGACGUCAAAUCAGCACGGCCCUUAUAUCCAGGGCUACACACGUGUUACAAUGGCCGGUACAAAGGGCAGCUACCUGGUGACAGGAUGCAAAUCUCUAAAACCGGUCUCAGUUCGGAUCGAAGUCUGCAACUCGACUUCGUGAAGGUGGAAUCGCUAGUAAUCGCGCAUCAGCAACGGCGCGGUGAAUACGU
rnacentral:rRNA from 1 species